GACGUAGGGGGCAAGCGUUGUUCGGAAUUAUUGGGCGUAAAGCGCGCGCAGGCGGCCUUUUAAGUCUGAUGUGAAAUCUUGCGGCUCAACCGCAAGCGGCCAUUGGAAACUGGGAGGCUUGAGUACAGAAGAGGAGAGUGGAAUUCCACGUGUAGCGGUGAAAUGCGUAGAUAUGUGGAGGAACACCAGUGGCGAAGGCGACUCUCUGGUCUGUAACUGACGCUGAGGCGCGAAAGCGUGGGGAGCAAACAGG
rnacentral:rRNA from 1 species